GACGAACGCUGGCGGCGUGCCUAAUACAUGCAAGUAGAACGCUGAAGGAGGAGCUUGCUUCUCCGGAUGAGUUGCGAACGGGUGAGUAACGCGUAGGUAACCUGCCUGGUAGCGGGGGAUAACUAUUGGAAACGAUAGCUAAUACCGCAUAAGAGUAGAUGUCGCAUGACAUUUGCUUAAAAGGUGCAACUGCACCACUACCAGAUGGACCUGCGUUGUAUUAGCUAGUUGGUGAGGUAACGGCUCACCAAGGCAACGAUACAUAGCCGACCUGAGAGGGUGAUCGGCCACACUGGGACUGAGACACGGCCCAGACUCCUACGGGAGGCAGCAGUAGGGAAUCUUCGGCAAUGGACGGAAGUCUGACCGAGCAACGCCGCGUGAGUGAAGAAGGUUUUCGGAUCGUAAAGCUCUGUUGUAAGAGAAGAACGAGUGUGAGAGUGGAAAGUUCACACUGUGACGGUAUCUUACCAGAAAGAGACGGCUAACUACGUG
rnacentral:rRNA from 1 species